rnacentral:lncRNA from 1 species
AUGUACAGGGAAUUGGCCAUAUCUCUUUCUUUCGCCCGGUUGCUGAAGCAUUGUCACAGGACAGCAAGGAUUGAUGAAUAUUCUUCAGAGUGUAAAGAAGAAGCUCAUUUUAAAAUGUAUGAGUCAUGUCAGUACAGUGAAAGAGGAGGAUUUAUGUUUCUGAAGUGGAAUUGUGUAUGUGAUCAAAGGAUUUACAUGCAGCUCUCUGUGCUGUAGUUCCUUCCUGCUCCAGGAGGGACACCUGGGAGUUUUGCUGGAGGCAUUAGUGCAACAGAAUCUGAACUUCAGUGCAGACAAAUGGGACAUUGAACAUACUUUUCCUUGAAAGAAAUCCAUCAGUGAAAAGGGACAACCGCGGAGGUCAAAAACUGUAUUGUAACCGGCUGUUACUGACUAAGCCCUUUUGGUUAUACAUAUAUGAAAUACAUAUGUAGUCACACACACACACACACACACACACACACACACACACACACACACACACACACACACACACACACACACUACUUACGUUUACUGU